GGGCCCAUAGCUCAGCUGGUAGAGCAACUGACUUUUAAUCAGUAGGCCACAGGUUCGAACCCUGUUGGGCUCACCA
rnacentral:tRNA from 1 species